rnacentral:rRNA from 1 species
CCUACGGGGGGCUGCAGUGGGGAAUAUUGGACAAUGGGCGAAAGCCUGAUCCAGCCAUGCCGCGUGUGUGAAGAAGGCCUUCGGGUUGUAAAGCACUUUCAGUGGGGAAGAAAGCCUUGGGGCUAAUACCCUCGAGGAAGGACAUCACCCACAGAAGAAGCACCGGCUAACUCCGUGCCAGCAGCCGCGGUAAUACGGAGGGGUGCGAGCGUUAAUCGGAAUUACUGGGCGUAAGCGCGCGUAGGCGGUCUGAUAAGCCGGUUGUGAAAGCCCCGGGCUCAACCUGGGAACGGCAUCCGGAACUGUCAGGCUAGAGUGCAGGAGAGGAAGGUAGAAUUCCCGGUGUAGCGGUGAAAUGCGUAGAGAUCGGGAGGAAUACCAGUGGCGAAGGCGGCCUUCUGGACUGACACUGACGCUGAGGUGCGAAAGCGUGGGUAGCAAACAGGAUUAGAUACCCUAGUAGUC